UGACUGCAAAUGCCACAGACCAUAUUAAUUGGCUCUAGCAAAAUGUGAAAUUCUACACGGCAGCAGUAGGUAUGUUGUGGAACUGAAGGCUGAGGCACGCUGAGGCUCAAGAUCAUUAAAGAAGUUUAAGGGACAAAGAAGUAAGAGCAUUGGAAGAUGGCACACCUGGUGUUGCAGUCAUCAAACAUUUUGUGAUUAAGUGAAGGAUCUUGAGAUGGAGAGAUUCUCCUAGAUCAUCUGAGUGUAUCCUAAAUGUAAAUAUACCUGUCUACAUGGAGAGAGGCAGAGGAAUUUGACAGACGAAGAGGAGAAAGCUGUGUGGGGAUGGAUCAGAGGAACACAAGCCAAGGAAUGCCAGAGUCACCAGAGGCCACAGAAGCAAGGGAUGGAUUCUUCCCUCUUUAAGGAGCACAGCCAUCCAACACCUUGAUUGAUUUGGAUCUUGUAGCUUGGGAGUUGUGAGACAAUACGUUUCUAUAGCUUUGGAUCACUAAGUUUGUCACAAAAUGUAAGUGCAGCCACAGAGAAUUAAUAAAAGGUGAAGGAAGGAUUCAAAGAAGUGAACAAGAGGCAGAACAGACUUUGUUUAUGAUAGAUCUUAAAUUCCAGGGACCACAGGGAGGAGGGAGGAGAUAGAGUUGUAGAGAAACUAGGAAGCUAUGUACAGCAAAGACAUGGAGGGUAAAUCUGAAGCCUUUGGGCUAUUUGUAGUUAUCGGCCAAAUAGAAAUAACAGGAUUCUUAACCAGGGCAUGCAAUGGAAUUAGUCCUGAUGACCUAAGAGGCAGAUUUUGAAGGUGGGUUGAAGGGGGAAGAGGAUAUGUUUCUAUGGGCAGGGUAUUUAUGUUCCUCCAAAAUUCACAUUUUGCAAUCCUACUCCUUAAGGUGAGGCUUCUGGUAAUUGAUUAUGUCAAGUCUCUAUUGAGCCAGAAAAUUAAUAGUCAGUAUGUCCCCUGAGAUACCACAUCUGGUACCUUGAUCUUGGAUUUCUGGCCUCUAGAACUAUGAAAAACAGAUGUUUG